rnacentral:rRNA from 1 species
CCUUGUCGCGCUAUACAUGCAAGUCGAGCGGACAGAUGGGAGCUUGCUCCCUGAUGUUAGCGGCGGACGGGUGAGUAACACGUGGGUAACCUGCCUGUAAGACUGGGAUAACUCCGGGAAACCGGGGCUAAUACCGGAUGGUUGUUUGAACCGCAUGGUUCAAACAUAAAAGGUGGCUUCGGCUACCACUUACAGAUGGACCCGCGGCGCAUUAGCUAGUUGGUGAGGUAACGGCUCACCAAGGCAACGAUGCGUAGCCGACCUGAGAGGGUGAUCGGCCACACUGGGACUGAGACACGGCCCAGACUCCUACGGGAGGCAGCAGUAGGGAAUCUUCCGCAAUGGACGAAAGUCUGACGGAGCAACGCCGCGUGAGUGAUGAAGGUUUUCGGAUCGUAAAGCUCUGUUGUUAGGGAAGAACAAGUACCGUUCGAAUAGGGCGGUACCUUGACGGUACCUAACCAGAAAGCCACGGCUAACUACGUGCCAGCAGCCGCGGUAAUACGUAGGUGGCAAGCGUUGUCCGGAAUUAUUGGGCGUAAAGGGCUCGCAGGCGGUUUCUUAAGUCUGAUGUGAAAGCCCCCGGCUCAACCGGGGAGGGUCAUUGGAAACUGGGGAACUUGAGUGCAGAAGAGGAGAGUGGAAUUCCACGUGUAGCGGUGAAAUGCGUAGAGAUGUGGAGGAACACCAGUGGCGAAGG